AGUGAACGCUGGCGGUAGGCCUAACACAUGCAAGUCGAACGGCAGCACAGUAAGAGCUUGCUCUUACGGGUGGCGAGUGGCGGACGGGUGAGGAAUACAUCGGAAUCUACUUUUUCGUGGGGGAUAACGUAGGGAAACUUACGCUAAUACCUCAUACGACCUACGGGUUAAAGCAGGGGAUCUUCGGACCUUGCGCGAUUGAAUGAGCUGAUGUCGGAUUAGCUAGUUGGCGGGGUAAAGGCCCACCAAGGCGACGAUCCGUAGCUGGUCUGAGAGGAUGAUCAGCCACACUGGAACUGAGACACGGUCCAGACUCCUACGGGAGGCAGCAGUGGGGAAUAUUGGACAAUGGGCGCAAGCCUGACGCAGCCACACCGCGUGGGUGAAGAAGGUCUUCGGGUUGUAAAGCCCUGUUGUUGGGAAAGAAAAGCAGCAUGAUAAUACCUCGCCGUUCUGACGGUACCCAAAGAAAAAGCACCGGCUAACUUCGUG
rnacentral:rRNA from 1 species